UAUUGGACAGUUGAGUUGUUGGUAUUGGAUUGGUGCGAGACUUGGCACGACUAGAGGCAGUCGUGACGAGAAGUUCUUGAGGAUUUCAUCUAAGGUUCAGAGUUAUGAGAUCGAUUGAUUUCCUUAAAGGGGAUUAUCGGGCGUUGCGUAGCACUUUCCAAGGGCAGGUGCGUUAUUGCUGGUGGAAAUAGUUCGUGAGGUUGUUGAUGUGUCAGAUAGUGAUGGUUCGAACCCUAAGUGGGGGAGAACCGGGUGGUUUAUUGAGAGAACCAGAGAUUUGUGCAAGAGCAGUUAGGGGUUGGAUGCAGAAACCUGCGGCUUGAAUUCAGGAGAUCAAGGUCAUUGGUGGUCAAGGUAAGGUGUACGGUGAGAUAAUGCAUGUGGUGUAUGCCUGAGAGAAGGAUGCGUGUCUCCACGGCGAGUGGUCAAUGGUCAGGAAUCUGGUGGUGGUCAGAGUCAAUUCAAGUGGAAGACUCGUAAUGAUGGUAUGGGCAGUUGAGAACUUCUGGGUUGAAAUAUGGGUAGAAGAUUAUCGAGUAGCCAACUCCCAGGCUGGGAUGUGUAUUCUUGCUUGAAUUUUGAGCAGUAGUGGAAAGGUUUUCGGAGGAUCAUCAGUGUGUUCUGAAGGGUUAGCGCCUUCCUUGUAUUCCAAUUGAGUGUUUGGAUGCACUGAAGUUGCGCAUCGAGUGAUAUAAGAAAUUAUUAUGGGAUUCAAAGGAAAUGUAUUGUUGUGUGUAUAUGGUGUUGGGAGUAAGGGAAUCAGUGGUAGAGGCAGGACAUUGUGAUGCUCUGUUAGGGUGUUCUGUGGUUUCCGCGUAUAGCGUCCCGAUUUCAGAGUUAUUUAGAGUCUUGGGUUAAGAUGACUGGGGAUGUAUCAUGUAUCCAUCGUUCCAGUGGGAGCCCUUCGUGUAUUGUCAUCAAGAGGGAUUAUUUAAGGAAGUGGAUCUCCGUAGAGGUAGGUUCUGUGUUAUGGCGGUUGCCGCCAGAGUCUGUAAUGCAUAUCGGGGCAAGUGUGUGUGUAACUAUCUAUGAUAGUCUUCGGUGCAUGAGUUANGGAUCAGCCUAACCUAAAUAUGCGACAGAGGAGGUGGUUGGACGUGGUCAAGCAUUAUGAUUAUGAGAUCCUGUACCACCUGGGCAAGGCUAGUGUUUUAGCCGAUGCACUGAGCCGCAGGGUGAAGAGCACCCCAUUGCGAGAUGUAUGUUUGAGAUUACCGUGAUAGCUCCGGUGUUCGACACCAUUCGUGGAGCACAGGCUGAGGCUGUGCGGCCUGAGAUACAGAAGAUAGAGCGAGUUGUCGAGUUGGUAUCGGAGUUCGUUACCGAUAGCCGGGGGCUUAUGACAUUUCAGGGGCGUAUCUGGGUACCGUUUGUGGGAGGAACGCGUACCAUUUUGAUGGAAGAGGCUCACCGGUCGAAGAUCUCGAUGCAUCCUGGGGCCACUAAGAUGUAUUUAGAUCUGAAGGAGUAUUGGUGGCCCUGUAUGAAGAGGGAUGUCGCGUGGUUUGUUGAGGGUUGCUUAACCUGUUGUAGGGUUAAGGCCGAGCACCGGAGACCGCAUGGUAAGUUGCAGCCUUUAAAGGUUCCUGAAUGGAAGUGGGAACAGAUUGCCAUGGAUUUUAUCACCAAAUUGCCAAGGACUUCUAGGGGAGUCGAUGCAAUUUGGGUGAUUGUGGACAGGUUGACAAAGAGCGCCCACUUCCUUGCUAUCAGUGAGAACUCUUCCACAGAGAAGUUGGCAGAGGUGUAUGUGAGAGAAGUGGUAUCGCGGCAUGGAGUGCCGAUCUCGAUUGUCUCAGACCGAGAUGUGUGUUUCACUUCCAGACUCUGGAAGAAAUUUCAUGAGGAGUUGGGUAUUAGGUUGCAUUUUAGUACCGCAUAUCACCCCGAGACUGACGGACAGAUGAGCGGACGAUUCAGACGCUCGAGGAUAUGCUCUGGGCAUGUGUGUUGGAUUUAGGGGGGAGUUGGGACACGUAUUUGCCCAUGGCAGAGUUUUCUUACAACGACAGCCAUCAUUAGUGCAUCAGUAUGCCGCCCUUUGAGCUGCUGUAGGGAAGGGAGUAUCGGACCCCAUUUGCGGGGAAGAGGUAGAGCAACAUGUGAUGGGAAGUACAGAGAUCUUGCUUCAGACGUCAGAGCAGAUACAUCAUGUCAGGCAGAGGUUGUUGACCGCUCAGAGUCGCUAGAAGAGUUCUGCGGACAGGUGCCGGUCCGAGCUCGAAUUGUUGGUCGGUGACUUUGUACUCCAGAAGGUCUCUCCUUGGAAAGGAGUGAUUCAAUUCAGGAAGAGGGGCAAGUUGGGGGCCCCGAUAUAUUGGUCCUUUCUGAGUGAUCGCGAGGGUAGGCUGGAUAGCCUAUCGUUUGGAUUUGCCAGCAGAGUUGGGGCAGUUUCACGACACUUUUCAUGUGUCGCAACUGAGGAAAUGUUUAGUCGAUGAGUCGGCAGUGGUUCCAAUAGAGAAUAUUCAGGUGGAUGCGAGCCUGAAUUAUGCUAAGAGACUAGUGGAGAUCGGAGACCAGAAGACCAAGGUUCUGAGGAACAAGGAGAUAUGCUUGGUUUUGGUUCAGUGGCAGCAUUGUAAGGGAUCCGAGAUGACCUGGGAGCCGGAGUGUGAGAUGCAGGAGCAACAUCUAAAGUUGUUUGCAGAGUGAGACUUCGAGGGCGAAGUCUAAUUCUNCUAGUGGGGGAGAAUUGUAACAGCCCGGAACCCCAAGUGUUAUUUAUUCAAAUAUUUUUGGUGUUUUGUGAGGGAACUCGGCAAGUUGGAGCUCAAACUCGCCGAGUAGGAUCGCGGUUUUAGAUGCAGGUUCGCGCCGGGACUCGACGAGUCCACGCUGUUUAAUGAAACCCUAAUUUUCCGGUCCUGAGCCCUAUUUAAGGGACCUUAUGGCCUUCAUUGCGGCUACCUUCGACCUUGGGAGCACCAGAGCAGCUGAGAGUUCUUGUGUGUGAGAUAAGAGGCCAUUAUUCACCAUUUUUGUGAGUUGGGGAGCUUAGAUCUACUCCCAUUUCGACAGAGGAAGCUAAUUGAGGUAACAUUCAAAGCUUAUUCUCGUGUUUUUCCUGAUAUGGCCAAAUCUAGGGUUUCUUCAUGCCUUGUUUUCCUUGUAUUUGCAGUAUGAGAGGUCCCAUGGGGAAAUGGUACCUAGAUCUGGACCUUAGUAGGUCCAAAGAGUCCUAAAUGCCAUGCUUUAUGCCUUUCCUUUUGAGUUGGAGACUUAGGUUUCCAUUUUAGAUGUCAUUUCAUCAAAAGAAGCCUUGUAGGUGUUGCUUGGUAGCCAAGAUUGAGACUUUACGUGAUGAAUGUGCUUGGGAGGGCUAGAUCUAUGAGUUGUUGGAGCGGAUCUGACCUCAGAAGCGAGAUUGAGUCGAUGCAUGGCACGGACUCGCCGAGUCUGAAGAACAGACUCGGCGAGUAGCAUGAAGAUUGUCCUAACCACUCAACGAGUGGCCUUGCCGAGUUAAGGGAUGACUCAGUGAGUCAGGGAGAAUUAGAGAGGGUUGACAGGUGGACUCAGUGAAGCUGGAACUCGCCGAGUUGUUCUUGAGACUCGGCGAGUUGAGUCGUGGUGGCCUCGCGAUUAUUCCAGGUGAAACUCGUCGAGUCCUAGAAACACUCGAUGUGUCAAGAGAGGACAAAGGAGUCAGUGGGCACGUGUAGACUCGCCGAGUCGCCCUAGUGCAUUCGCCGAGUCCGGUCAAAGUUGACCGUUGACUUUUGUUGACUUUUAGGGUUUGGUCAGCGAUGUGGCCUUUGGGCCAAGAGAGGGGUAAAAUGGUCUUUUACCCUUAAGAGGGUGUCAAGAGAGGGUUGAUCCUAGACUCGAGAGUUAUAUUCAUGAGAGUAUUUGCCUUAUGUGUUAGGCGGUGGCAAGUUCGAGAUUCAAGUGUGGGGAUAUCUGCUUUCUGCUUGCCAGGUGAGUCUUCUCACUAUACUUUACCUUGAGUAGGUAAUCAGNAGAGUAUUUUUAUGCUAUAUGCAUGUUAUGUGUUGUACUGCAUUAUUUCUAUGUGAUUUAUGCUGUGCAUGUUUAUAGAGUUGGAACCGGAAGGUUCCCAGAGUUAGAAUCGGAGGGUUCACAGAGUUAGAAUCAGAGGGUUCAUAGAGUAGGGUCCACGGAUCCAUAGAGUUAUAGCCACGAGUGGCUAAUAUAUGUAUGUUUGGUAUUUUGGGGAGCUAACUAAGCUUCGUGCUUACAGUGUUUUGUGUUAUGUGUUUCAUGUUUCUCUCAGGAUCACGGGACGGCACCGGCUCGAUUGUACACACCAGAGAAAGAGUCAUGUUUUGAGGAUCCUGGUUUAUUAUGCAAGUGAAAAUGGAGUUAUGUUUUGUAAUUCGAUUAUGUAUGAGAUUUUCAGCAAAGUGUUUUUUUUUGAAUUAAACGAUUAUUUUAAAAUGAAAAAUUGUUUUGAAAUUUUCGGUGUUACAGUGGAGCUCUAACCCAUGAAUCUCAUGGAAAUGAAAAACAUGAGUAUUAGGGUUUACAUGGAUGUAACCCUAAUCCACCACACUAUAUCAAGGAGGCUUUGGUUCUUGAAAUCACAUUAGUUGAUGUGUGUAAAGUAAGAGGGACGAUUUCAAGAAGGGUGUAGCUAUUCUCUCAAGUUUUCCAAGCUUGUGGUGAUUUGUGACUUCCAUUUGAGACAUCCACAUUAUUGGUGCUAGGAUCUCAAACUCCAAGCAAUCAACUACAACUACAAGAUAAUCAAUUAUAGUAGCUUUAUUUGAUUCAAGUAACCCAUGCCAUGCUAGUUAGGAUAAGUACAUUGGAAAAAUAAUUAUUUGCAUGUAUCUUAGUCAAACAUAGAACCAAGAUUUCUAGGGUUGCAUGUACACCAUAGGAGUGUUAGAAUGCUCAAAACCCAUCAUCUAUAACACAAAAUAAGCCAACAUGGGACAGAUCUCAGGUUCUAGGGCCUUGUCAACUCGUAAAGCCAUCAACUUUGGGGACAAAAACCCUAAAACACCCCACACAUGAACACAAACAAAAGAGUAGGAAUGCUUGAAGCUUUUUACCUCCAAAUGAAUCCUUUCUCACUGCUAAGCUCAGAUCCAAGGGCUUGGGCUCUAACUCCUUCUUCUCCAAAGCUUCCUUUCCACUUCUAAUGCACAAGAACACACCCACAAGUUCUCAAAGGCAGUCUCUUGCUACAAGAAUGAGAUUUAGGGUUUUGGGGAGGUUAUGUAUCUGGAAAUGGUGGCCAUAGGGAGGCCAGGACACUCUUUAAAUAGGGAACUCACUCAAUAUUUGGGUUACAAUCUGGGCCUGGUAUGCCCCACGUACGCCUUGGUACGCCCGAUAUACUAGGUUGCCCUCCGCGAUCAAACACGCGCACGAGUACGCUGAGCGUACACUCUAGUAUGCUCCGCGUACCCGUCUACCACCCUUUUCUUAUCAAGGACCAAUAUGGAAAAUUACUCAAAGAUUAGGGUUCACAAGGUAUACCUGGGUUUUUGGAUGUUACAAUUCUCCCCCCACUAGAAUUAGACGUCGCCCCCUGAAUUCAUGCUCCACAAACAACUCUGGAUGCUGCUCCCGCAUCUCAGACUCCAAUUCCCAAGUCGUCUCGGACCCUCUCCGAUGCUACCACUAAACUUCGACCAAAGACACCUCCUUAGUCCUUAGAACCUUCACCUUUCAAUCCAGAAUCGCGAUCGGUCUUUCGAUGUAACUCAUGCCCGCAUCCACAUGAAUAUCCUCUAGUGGUACAACUGUCGUCUUAUCGGCCACACACUUCCUCAACUGGGAUAUGUGGAAGGUGUUAUGGAUCUGACUCAACUCCUCAGGUAGAUCCAAACAGUUUGCUACCUUGCCUACACUCGCGGUCACCAUGAAAGGACCAAUGUAUUCUGGCCCCAACUUGCCCUUCUUCCUGAAUCGGAUCACUCUUUUCCAAGGAGAUACCUUCAGGCGUACUAUGUCUCCGACCUGGAAAUCGAGCUCGAAUCGCCGCCUAUCCGCGUAACUCUUCUAGCGGCUCUGGGCUGUCAGUAACCUUUGUCUGACCUGCUAUAUCUGCUCAGUCAUCUUUAGCAUUAUCUCGGUGCUACCCAUCGCUCGCUGCCCCGCCUCUCCUUAACAGAUGGAGGUCCGAUACCUCCCCCCAUAUUAAAUCUCAAACGGAGGCAUAUAAUACUCGAAUAGUGGCUGUUGUUGUACGAAAACUCGGCCAAAGGUAGGUAUGUUUCCCAACUUCUGCCGAAGUCCAUAAAACAUGCUUGAAGCAAGUCCAAAGGUGGCAAUCUCGAACCCAAAUCCUCAUGAAACUUCUUCUAGAACCUGGAAGUGAAACACACAUCUCUGUCUUACACAAUUGAGAUCGGCACUCCAUGCCGAGACACCACCUCUCUCACGUAUAUCUCUGCCAGCCUCUCUGUAGAAGAGCUCUCACUGGUAGCAAGCAAAAUGAGCGCGCUUCUUCAGCCGGUCAACAAUCACCCAAAUUGCAUCAACACGCUUGCGGUCCUCGAAAAUUUGGUAAUGAAAUCCAUAGAAAUAUGUUCCCACUUCCACUGGGGAACCUCCAGCGGCUGCAACUUGCCGUGCGGACGCUGAUGCUUCGCCUUGACUCGACGACAUGUCAAUCACCUUUCUACGAGCCACGCAAGAUCCCUCUUCUUACAGGGCCACAGGUAAUCUCUCUUCAGAUCCAAAUACAUGUUAGUGGCCCCGGGAUGGAUCGAGAAUCUCGAUCUGUGCGCCUCCUCAAUCAAUAUGCUACGUGCUCCGCCCAUAAACGACACCGAUACCAGACCGUGAAAGGUUAUAAGUCGUCGGCAACCAGUAACAAACUCGGACCCCUGCCCAAUCACCCGCUCUCUCGUGUGGUUCUCCAGUCUCACAGCCUCUACCUGGGCCUCUCGGAUGGUAUCCAAUACCAGAGUCAUCACCGUCAUCCUCAUACAUGUAUCUCGAAUCUGGGCACUCACCGCCCUGUGGCUCAGAGCAUCGACUACCAUCUUAUCCUUGCCCGGGUGAUACGUUAUCUCACAGUCAUAAUCCUUUACAACCUCCAACCAUCUCCUUUUACGCAUGUUCAGGUUGGUCUGAUCCAUUAGAUACUUCAAACUCUUGCGGUCCGUGUAUAUGGUACACCGAACCCCUUACAAAUAAUGGCCCCAUAUCUUGAGGGAGAACACUAUUGCCCCCAACUCCAAAUCGUGGUUGGGAUACCUCGUCUCAUGAGGGUUCAGCUGCCUCGAUGCGUAUGCUAUCACGUGCCCUCUCUGGAUAAGCACCGUACCCAAUCCUUAUAUGGACGAGUCACAGUACACCACAAAAUCCUCCAUUCCCUCUUGAAGGGCUAAGACCGGGGCUUCGUAUAAUCUUUGGCGAAGAGUCUCAAACGAGGUCUGCUGCUCAGCACCCCAUGUAAAACUAGCGGCCUUCCGGGUCAAUCUGGUAAGGGAACGACAAUCUUGGAGAAAUCCCUGAUAAGUCUCCGAUAGUAGACGGCCAACCCUAGAAAGCUCUUGAUCUCGGUGGGGGAUAUCGGCACCUCCCAUCUCAUAACAGUCUAAAUCUUGGCCGAAUCGACCAAUAUCCAAUUCUGAUAAACGAGAUGUCCCAAAAAUUGGACCUCUCUUAACCAGAAAUCACACUUAGACAUAAAGCCUCUCCGAUCUCAAUACCGCAAGAAUCUCCCUUAGAUGCUCCUCGUGUUGCUCCCUAGAUCUCGAUUACACCAGAAUAUCGUCGAUGAACACAAUCACCGAUCGAUCCAAAAUCGACCUUCAUACUCGGUUGAUGAGAUCCAUGAACGCUGCUGGUGCAAUGGUGAACCCAAAAGGCAUCUCCAUGAACUCGUAAUGCCCAUAAGGAGUCCUAAACAACGUAUUUUGGAUAUCCUCAUCCCACACCCUCAUCUGGUGAUAUCCCGAUCUCAAGUCUAUCUUCGAGAACCAAGAAGCUCCCUGCAACUGAUUGAACAAAUCGUCGAUCCUCUGUAGUGGAUAACGUUUCUUGACCAUCAACUUGUUCAACUCCCGGUAAUCAUGCACAUCCGGUGUGAACCAUCAUUUUUCUUGACAAAAAGGAUCGGCGCUCCCCACGACGAGUUACUCGGUCGAAUGAAUCCCUUCCCCAACAGCUCCUGAGCCUGCGUAGACAACUCUUUCAUCUCUGGUGGUGUAAGGUGAUAAGGUACCUUAGCAAUAGGCGCCACACCCGGAACCAGAUCGAUGCGAAACUCCACCCGCCUAUCGGGAGGCACACCCGGUAACUCCUUGGGGAUAACAUGUGGAAACUCUCAUACUAUCCGAACCUCACUGACCGAUGUCGACCUCUAUGCGGCAACUCGUGUAUCAAUCACAUAGGCCACAAAUCCUCUGUAGCCCUUCUGUAGACUCUGCCUCACUCUGACAGCCGAGCAAAAUGCUGACCCAGAUCGGUUACCCUCGCGAUAUACCGUAAGUACUCCCCCACUAGGGUCUCGUAUGGUCACCAACUGACGCUCGCAGUCGAGAAUAUCUCCAAAUUGGCUCAACCAAUCCAUACCUACGAUGACAAAGACAUCCCCCAUCGUAAUAGGUACCAAAUCUAUCAGGAACUCAACACUAAAAAUCUCGAUUAUACAUCUUUGAAUCUCCUCAGUAGCAAAGACCACUCGCUCGACAGCUUUAGAAACUCAGAGAGGUCGACUCAACGCCUCUCGUCGGAUACCGAUGUGCUGACUAAAAGCUAAUUACACAAAAGAUCGACUCACACCUGAAUCAAAUAACACCAAAGAAGGUACAUAAUUCAAAAGGAAAGUACCUAAACAUAUCAAAAUAUAAGCAUAAUAUCUCAAAAUCAGCAUAAGUAAAUAGAAGAAUACAUACCAGCCACGACAUCGGGCGCUGCGCGGACCUCCUCCUCCGUCAACUAAAAGGCUCUCCCGCGAGCCCUCAGUGUCUCUGCCUUCACUGGCCGGCUCUCAGAAGCACGCACAGAAGUACGUGAAGAUCCCUGCACUAGCUCGGGGCACUCGGCCUUCCGGUGGUCGGUCUGGUUGCAAUGAAAGCAAAUCAAGAAUCCGUUGGGGAAAUCCUUCACCAUGUGUCCCUCCUUGCCGCAUUUGUAGCAGAUCCCUACUCGGAAAGAACCCUCGUGACUCUUGCCGCACUUGCCAUAAGUGCGGCCCUUCUGGCCUUCAACUCUGGAAUCAGCAGGCUUAGCCCGCUUUGUCAUCGGUUGCGACUAUACUUGCCUCCGGUCCCUCCCCGGGGACUCCUCCUCAUCCUCCCUGGUCUAAAGCGCAAGCUCAAUUUUCUCCUCCUGGCAUUCGCCUGGAGCUCGGCCAAUGUCCGGUAAGACGAGUUCUCCACAACUCUUGUAUGUCCCUCUUCAGUAUGCUCAGAUAUCGACUCACACGUUCCUGCUCAAUGGACACGUGUUCGAGGCAAAACAUCACCCUCUCAUGGAAUACCCUCAAGAUCUCAGUCAUUGACUCUAACUUCUUCCAGAGAGACAGAAACUCUUAUGUAACAUCCCGAAAUAUCAAGAGUAGAGUUGAAGGGCUAAAAGAGUAAGUUGUGAAAGAGUGACUCGGCGAGUCCAUGGAUGGACUCGGCGAGUAGAGUCGCGACUGGGUCGCGUGCUAAGUAGCCGACUCGGCGAGUCGGUGAGGAGGACUCGGCGAGUAGGCGCUGAUUGGAGAAAACCCUAAUUCUCGGGGUUGAGCCCUAUAUAAAGAACAUUAUGUUUUCCUCCCAGCCUCCUUAUCACCCCUUGAGCCCCAGAAAACCCUAAAUCGCGGAGAAGCACCAUUGUUGAGUGGAUUGGAGCUUGGAGAAGUAAUUGUUGAAGGAAUUUUGGGAGAUUGAAGGCUUGGAGCAAGGGGCUUUGCUUGGAUUCGAAUUACAUUGCAGUUGGGGCAUCUCUUGGAGGUAAUAUCUCGUUCUUGGGCUGUUAUUAUGUGUUUCUUCAUUUUGGGGUUUGUGGGAACUUGUCUAUGGAUGUAAUGGGAAGUCUAGAGGUUAGAUCUGAGGUUGCUACCUCAGAUCUGGAAGGGAGAAGAAUCAGAGAGCAUGAAAGUCCCUGUGUUGGAGUGUUUAGUGAAGCUUUCAUGUCCCAAACCCUAGCCCAAUGUGCAAAUGGCCUAGAUCUCUUUGGAUUCACGUAAAGUUUGCCACUUUACGUGAUGGAUGAGUGGUAGGAGGCUAGAUCUAUGUUUUGGAGCAAUUGCAUGGCCUGGAAUGCUUCUGAAUGGAUUCAGACCGGUGGUACUCGGCGAGUCACAUGGGUGUACUCGACGAGUUGGAUGAAGAUGGCCUGGAACUCGGCGAGUUGUAUGAACAACUCGACGAGUAGGUUGAUGAUAGUCUUGGACUCGGCGAGUCUGUUCUUGGACUCGGCGAGUCUUGUCGAAGAGUCCCGAUAUUCCCUGGUUGAGUCGAGAAUCGGUGAGUCAAGGGAUGACUCGGUGAGUUGUGUGCGAGUGGACUCAGAGUUGUUGGACUCGGCGAGUCUCGGAGUGACUCGGCGAGUUAGGUCGCGGAUUGAGUGAAGUUCUGAUUAUAGAAACUCGGCGAGUCAUAGAGUUGACUCGGCGAGUAGGGUCAGUCAGGGGUUGACUUUGACUGAGGACUUUGAUUUUGACCAAGGGUUGACCGUUGACUUUUAGGGUUUGGUCAGCGAUGUGGCCUUUGGGCCAAGAGAGGGGUAAAAUAGUCUUUUACCCUUAAGAGGGUGCAUUGAGAGGAUUGAUUCUAGUCUCGAGAGUUAUAGUCAUGAGAGUUUUGCCUUACGUGUUAGGCGGUGGCGAGUUCGAGAUCCGAGUAUGGAGAUAUCUGCUUUUUGCUUGCCAGGUGAGUCUUCUCACUAUACUUUACCUUGAGUAGGUAACCAGAGUUAUGUGACAGAGUAUUUGUAUGCUAUGUAUGUUAUGUGUUGUACUGCAUUAUUUCUAUGUGAUUUAUGCUGUGCAUGUUUGCAGAGUUGGAACCGAAGGGUUCCUAGAGUUAGAACCGGAAGGUUCACAGAGUUAGAACCUGAGGGUUCACAGAGUUUGGGUGCACGGACCCAUAGAGUUAUAGCCUCGAGUGGCUUAUAUGUGUUAUGUGUGUGGUAUUUUGGGGAACUCACUAAGCUUCGUGCUUACAGUGUUUUGUGUUAUGUUGUUUUCAGGUUUCUUUCAGUAUCACGGUACGGCACCGGCUUGAUUGUACACACCAGAGCAAGAGUCAUAUUUUGGAGGAUCCUGGUUUUCUAUGCAAGUGAAAAUGGAGCUAUGUUUUGUAAUUUGAUUAUGAAUGAGAUUUUUAACAAGUGUUCUAAGAAUAAAAUGAUUAUUUAAAAUGAAAAUUUUGUCUUGAAAUUUACGGUGUUACAAGUUGGUAUCAGAGCCUUGGUUUGAGGGAUUCGGAUGCGCCUUCGGGUAAUUCUGGACUCAAACUGAGGAAGUAAGAAAAGUUUUCAAAGAAAUAAUUUUCUAAAGCGAAUAAGAGUUCAAAGAGAAAACGAGAAAGAGCAGUGUGUACAAUCAGCCAGAGCCCGAACGGUGAUUUCCCAAAAUACCCUUACUUUUGUGUUAUGAGAUAUUUAUGAUGCACUUUAUGAGAUAUUAUUGCAUGCUAGAGACAGGCUAGGUAUUCCAUAUAUUAGGAGUAGAGUGGCCUGAUUUGUGAUGCCUUAGCCUAGGAAUUGCUGUGAUAUGCGUUGUGCUUUUGAGUAUGUGAUGAGUGAGAAUAUUUGAUUGGAAUCCUUUAGGGGAUUUGAGUAGUGGAGUAAUCUAGGGAAGAUACCUAGAUGAGUACUGUGGUACUUGGAGAAAGAAUAGUUAGAGCCCGCGAGGGGAAGAGUUGCAGAGUUCGGUGGUACUUCCGAGGAUGAGCAGAGCAAGCGGAGUUAUCACCCAGAGUGAGUCAUAUAUAUUCUUCGAUGCUCGAAUGCUGCUUGCUUCGUGCUUUGUGGAACUCUCGAUGAUGGGAGUCAGCUACCAAGCGAAUAUGACGAUAUUCAGGAGGUAGAUGGCUGGCAUCAUUAGGAGCUCUUCAGCAGCUGAUGGCAGAGAAGUGUGGGAAUCUGAGAAGAGCCUAGGGAGUAACCUUAGCCAGAUGAGUGCACUGGCAGGGUAGAGAAUUUCGCUGGGGAGCGAGCGCGCGAUGGAAUUGGUGAACGAGAAGGUCGAGCAGCUACUUAGGAGCUCCGGGAUAGUCCGUGUGGAAAGUAUGGGUAGAUGUGGCAGGUAGUAUGGGCCCGUACUACUGAAAGCAGAGGACCCAUACUUGAUACAGGGAGUAUUCUGAAGAUUCUAAUGAGCGUAUUAAGGAGUGAUGUAUGGUUCGAGUACCAUACAUCAGAGCAGAUUGAGGAGUGAUGUUAUGGUUCGAGUACCAUACAUCGGAGCAGAUUGAGGAGUGAUGUUAUGGUUGAGUACCAUACAUCGGAGCAGAUUGAGGAGUGAUGAUAUGGUUGAGUACCAUACAUCGGAGCAGAUUGAGGAGUGAUGUUAUGGUUCGAGUAUCAUACAUCGGAGCAGAUGGAGGAGUGAUGCUAUGGUUCGGGUACCAUACACCGGAGCAUAUUGAGAAGAGAUGUCAUGGGAUGAGUACCAUGGUUCGUAGUGAAUGAUGCUUGUGAUUCUCUGGUUAUCCGGUCACGAUUGAUGAGGUAGAGAUUGGACGCUAUGGGUUUUAGGCCUGUAGGCCAUGAUUGAGUUUGGAGAGGCGUCCCUCGAGAGGGAAGUCGAGAGCCUAUCAGAGUAUUUUGGUAAGGAGUUAGAGGGAGAGGAGAAUUUCGGUCUAAGUUGAGCAAUCAGUCGAUAGAGGAGAGGUCACCUUCUAUGUGAGUGGUGCUAUUUAUGUUCGUGUGCGGAACAUGAAAGGCCUGAUGUUUUAGUUUUGGGUUUGUGGGUAAACCCUGCAGGUCGUUAUUGAUGAUGAUUUCUUCCAGAGUAUCAGGUAGCAUGUGUGCCGUGAGGCAGUGAUUUGUCAGGAGCAGAUAGUCAGUUGGGACUGAGAUUGUCGAGGACCACACUACACCUAUUUAAGUAUAGUAGGAUGUAUUAUAGUGGUAUCAGUGGGGAGUUCAGUCGAGUUUAGCAGUGCAGAGAGUUUUCUAUCUAUGUUGGGUGUUGAAUAUGGGAGUGGGUCCCUGUUCUUGGGAUGAUCCCGGUGUUGGAGCGAUGUUUGAUGAGUUGAGGUGAGGGGUACGAUGAUUUUGUGGUUCAGUCUAUGAGCCAGGGAUGUCAUUGAGCAGUUAAGUUGUUUGGUACUUGAUUGGUACGAGAUUUGGAACGACUAGAGGCAGUCGUGGCGAGCAGUUCUUGACGAGUUCAUCUGAGGAUCAGAGUUAUGAGAUCGAUUAAUUUCCUUAAAGGGGAUUAUCGGGUGUUGCGUAGCACUUUCCAGUGGCAGGUGCGUUAUUGCUGGUGGAAAUAGUUCGUAAGGUUAUUGAUGUGUAAGAUAGUGAUGGUUCGAACCCUAAGUGGGGGAGAACCGGGUGGUUUAUUGAGAGAACCAGAGAUUGGUGCAAGAGCGGUUAGGGGUUGGAUGCAGAACCUGCGGCUUGAAUUCAUGAGAUCAGGGUCAUGGGUGAUUAAGGAAGGUGCAGGGCGAGAUAAUGCAUGUGAUAUAUGUCUAAGAGAAGGAUGGGUGUCUCCACGGCGGGUGGUCAAUGAUCAGGAAUCUGAUGGUGGUCAGAGUCGUCUCGAGUGGAAGGCUCGUAAUGAUGGUAUGGGCAAUUGAGAACUUCUGGGUUGAGAUAUGGGUAGCUGAUUAUCGAGUAGCCAAUUCCUGGGCUAGGGUGUGUAUUCUUUCUUGAAUUUUGAGCGGUAGUGGAAAGGGUUUCGGAGGAUCAUCGGUGUGUUCUGAAGGGUUAGCGCCUUCCUUGUAUUCCAAUUGAGUGUUUGGAUGCACUGAAGUUGCGCAUCGUGUGAUAUCAGAAAUUAUUAUGGGAUUCAGAGGAAAUGUAUUGUCGUGAGUGUAUGGUAUUGGGAGUAAGGGAAUCAGUGGUUGUGGCAGGAUCUUGUGAUGUUCUGUUGGGAUAUUCCGAGGUAUCCGGGUAUGAUACCUUUAUUUCGGAGUUACUCGUAAAUCUUGAGUUGAAACGAUUUGUGGUGUAUCAGGUAUCUACGGAUCUAGUGGGAGCCCUUCGAGUAUGGGCAUCCAGGGAGAUUAUUAAGAGAAAGGAACUUUGCAAGGGUGGGCAUGUUGAUAUGUCGAUUGCUUCCAGAGUCUGGAAUGUGUAUUCGAGUCGAGUAUGGGUAGCUGCCUGUGAUAGUCUGCGGAGCAUGAGCUAGUGGAGUCAGAGGGUGUUGUGAUACUGCGGGGAGCCGUAGUACUCACUAGUCAGAGAGUGUUGUGAUACUGCGGGGAGCCGUAGUACUCACUAGUCAGAGGGUGUUGUGAUACUGCGGGGAGCCGUAGUACUCACUAGUCAGAGGGUGUUGUGAUACUGCGGGGAGCCGUAGUACUCACUAGAUGGCAAGAGAAUGUGAUGAUGGAAUGAUCUCCGAUCAGUGUAUGAUGUGGAAGAGUUUUGGGCUUGAGUAUCCCUAGUAUUGAGUUCUGGAGCCUGGGUGUUGAACCGGGGGCGAGACUGGGGUCACCGUCUCUGUCGGGAGAUGCGGUGAGAUGCGCAAGGGAUAUGCGUAGCAGAAACUAGAGAUCAGAGUUGAGGCGAUCCUCGGUUGGAUUGU
rnacentral:lncRNA from 1 species